AACAUCAAAAGCUGGAACAUCCAGCUCAGGUGAAAACCAAAAGUUUUGAGGAUGCUGCGUUUGAAAUGCUUUCGACGGUCAGUCCAAUCAAAUUGCCACGCGACGAGAUUCCAUUCGAUUCUGUCAGAGAAAUAGUUCUUGGAGAGG
rnacentral:sRNA from 1 species